UACGGAGGAUGCAAGCGUUAUCCGGAAUGAUUGGGCGUAAAGCGUCCGCAGGUGGCAAUGUAAGUCUGCUGUUAAAGAGUCUAGCUCAACUAGAUAAAAGCAGUGGAAACUACAUAGCUAGAGUACGUUCGGGGCAGAGGGAAUUCCUGGUGUAGCGGUGAAAUGCGUAGAGAUCAGGAAGAACACCGGUGGCGAAGGCGCUCUGCUAGGCCGUAACUGACACUGAGGCGCGAAAGCCAGGGGAGCAAACGGG
rnacentral:rRNA from 1 species